rnacentral:rRNA from 1 species
UACGAAGGGGGCUAGCGUUGUUCGGAAUCACUGGGCGUAAAGCGCACGUAGGCGGAUUUGUAAGUCAGGGGUGAAAUCCCGGGGCUCAACCUCGGAACUGCCUUUGAUACUGCAAGUCUUGAGUCCGAUAGAGGUGAGUGGAAUUCCUAGUGUAGAGGUGAAAUUCGUAGAUAUUAGGAAGAACACCAGUGGCGAAGGCGGCUCACUGGAUCGGUACUGACGCUGAGGUGCGAAAGCGUGGGGAGCAAACAGG